rnacentral:rRNA from 1 species
UCGAGCGGGGGUAAUUGGUGACACCCAGACAUCGCUAAUGAUGUUUGAGUGUUGCUGGUUACUCUAGCGGCGAACGGGUGAGUAACACGUCGGUCAUCUACCCUGGAGUGGGGGAUACCCAGCCGAAAGGUUGGUUAAUACCCCAUGGCCAUGAGGGGGCAUAUGCCAUUCUCAUGUAAAGCAGCAAUGCGCUUCAGGACGAGCCUGCGUUCCAUCAGGUAGUUGGCGGGAUAACAGCCCACCAAGCCUACGACGGAUAGCUGGUGUGAGAGCACGACCAGCCACAAUGGGACUGAGACACGGCCCAUACAUCUACGGAUGGCAGCAGUAAGGAAUCUUCCGCAAUGGACGAAAGUCUGACGGAGCGACACCGCGUGAGGGAUGAAGGCUCUCGGGUUGUAAACCUCUUUUCUGGGGGACCAUUAUGAGUGUACCCCAGGAAUAAGCAUCGGCUAACUACGUGCCAGCAGCCGCGGUAAUACGUAGGAUGCAAGCGUUAUCCGGAAUCAUUGGGCGUAAAGCGUCCGCAGGUGGAACAGUAAGUUGAGCGAUAAAUACCAGUGCCUAACAUUGGUGCCUCGUUCAAAACUGCUGAUCUAGAGGAUGGGAGGGGCAGACGGAAUUCCCGGUGUAGGGAUAAAAUCCGUAGAUAUCGGGAAGAACACCAAAAGCGAAGGCAGUCUGCUGGAACAUUCCUGACACUCAUGGACGAAAGCGUGGGGAGCGGAAAGGAUUAGAUACCCUUGUAGUCCACGCCCUAAACGAUGAGUACUCGAUGUAGGGAGAGUCAAUCCUCCCUGUGUCUAAGCUAACGCGUUAAGUACCCCGCCUGA